rnacentral:lncRNA from 1 species
CGCAGAUUCGAGGGGACGGUUGAAUUCUCGGAGCCGCGUGUUCGGGAGGAGUGCGGGGAGAGGGGGGAUCGGGGGGUGUGCAGGGUGAUCACAGGGAGAGAGAGAGAGAGAGAGAGAGAGAGAGAGAGGGAGAGAAGGAAGGAGAGCUCGAGGAGAGACAAAGCACGCGCUCAGGAGGCACCCAGGAGCCGCCGUGGGAGCCACGCGCUCAGAAUAUUGCCAGUAUGCAGGACAUGGAGGGAAUAGAAGCAGCACAGUCUGGCUUCACAGGUAAAAUAUAUUAUUUGCAUAAAUUGUGAACAUAUAGUUCUGAUGUGUCACUUCAUGACCGACCAGUUGAUUGAGCUUUCAAAACUAAGGGGGUAAUUUGGACUUGGACUUCGGAUUUUUUUUUUCCUGCAUAUGUGUCUCUUCCGGUG